CCUACGGGAGGCAGCAGUGAGGAAUAUUGGUCAAUGGACGAGAGUCUGAACCAGCCAAGUAGCGUGAAGGAUGACUGCCCUAUGGGUUGUAAACUUCGUUUAUAGGGGAAUAAAAUGUGCCACGUGUGGGAUGUUGUAUGUACCAUAUGAAUAAGGAUCGGAUAACUCCGUGCCAGCAGCCGCGGUAAUACGGAGUAUCCGAGCUUUAUGCGGAUUUAUUGGGGUUAAAGGGAGCGUAGGUGGUUUGUUAAGUCAGUUGGGAAAGUUUGCGGCUCAACCGUAUAACUGCAGUUGAAACGGGCAGUCUUGAGUACAGUAGCGUUUGGCGGAAUUCGUGGUGUAGCGGUGAAAUCCUUAGAUAUCACG
rnacentral:rRNA from 1 species